rnacentral:lncRNA from 1 species
CCUCCAUCUUGAGUUUUUCUGAGAGCAUCUCAGAUCUAAAACUCCUCCUCCUAUUUUUCAUAUUUGAAAGAGCCCAAAUUAAGAAGAAGGAGGUACCUGAUCAACCAUCGAAGAAGGAUCAGCGCAGUACUAGCAUACUGUGCUGAUUUCCUGAAGCAGGACUUCUGAUCGAGAUUCGUGGGCUCGUGUGGAUGACUCC